GAUGAACGCUGGCGGCGUGCUUAACACAUGCAAGUCGAACGGAAAGGCCCAAGCUUGCUUGGGUACUCGAGUGGCGAACGGGUGAGUAACACGUGGGUGAUCUGCCCUGCACUUCGGGAUAAGCCUGGGAAACUGGGUCUAAUACCGGAUAGGACGAUGGUUUGGAUGCCAUUGUGGAAAGUUUUUUCGGUGUGGGAUGAGCUCGCGGCCUAUCAGCUUGUUGGUGGGGUAAUGGCCUACCAAGGCGUCGACGGGUAGCCGGCCUGAGAGGGUGUACGGCCACAUUGGGACUGAGAGACGGCCCAGACGCCGACGGGAGGCAGCAGUGGGGAAGAUUGCACAAUGGGCGCAAGCCGGAUGCAGCGACGCCGCGUGGGGGAUGACGGCCUUCGGGUUGGAAACUCCUUUCGCUAGGGACGAAGCGUUUUGUGACGGUACCUGGAGAAGAAGCACCGGCUAACUACGUG
rnacentral:rRNA from 1 species